UGGGGAAUCUUAGACAAUGGGCGAAAGCCUGAUCUAGCGAUGCCGCGUGAGUGAUGAAGGCCUUAGGGUCGUAAAGCUCUUUCGCCAGGGAUGAUAAUGACAGUACCUGGUAAAGAAACCCCGGCUAACUCCGUGCCAGCAGCCGCGGUAAUACGGAGGGGGUUAGCGUUGUUCGGAAUUACUGGGCGUAAAGCGCACGUAGGCGGACUAAUAAGUCAGAGGUGAAAUCCCAGGGCUCAACCCUGGAACUGCCUUUGAUACUGUUAGUCUUGAGUUCGAGAGAGGUGAGUGGAAUUCCGAGUGUAGAGGUGAAAUUCGUAGAUAUUCGGAGGAACACCAGUGGCGAAGGCGGCUCACUGGCUCGAUACUGACGCUGAGGUGCGAAAGUGUGGGGAGCAAACAGGAUUAGAUACCCUGGUAGUCCACACCGUAAACGAUGAAUGCCAGUCGUCGGGUUGCAUGCAAUUCGGUGACACACCUAACGGAUUAAGCAUUCCGCCUGGGGAGUACGGUCGCAAGAUUAAAACUCAAAGUAGAUUGAC
rnacentral:rRNA from 1 species